rnacentral:lncRNA from 1 species
AUGAGGCACCAACGGGGAGUCCACUCAUUAUCCCAUCAACUUAUGGGGCUCAACAUAGUGACGUUUAUUCACUAUGGGUAACGCAAACACCUCUGGCAUCUUUGUUCUAUCAAGGUUGGUCAUCUUCUCAACCAUCUAGUAAUAGGCCGGGGGUUGCACAAAUGCAAGGAUCUACACCAACUGAAGGUGAACCCCAACAACCACAACCUCGGUCGAAAGCGGAACCUAGAAGAAAUCUAGCGCGUAACCGCCAACCACCCCAAUGUGGCAGAGAUUUCGACUGGCAUAUGCACUAAUGAAUUGUAAAUUGUAUCAUUUAAAUUAAUAUAAUUUCUUUUGAAUAUUUUUUGUACACUGUCUAAUUUAGCUAUCCAUUAAACCCUAAUCAAAAUUCGAAUGUACCUUGAAUAUUUUCACAUAG